AAAUACAAGAAUCAGCAAAAUACACAUGACACAUAUAAUGAUAAUUCACCAUUUUUGAUAAUUCAUUGUUGCACAGAAAAUCAAUGUGAUAUAGUAUUUAUUUGUAUGAAUAUAGUAAUUAUUUUUCUUGUUAUAAACAAAGUAAUAGAUAUCCUGUGAUAGUAAACUUAUAUGGAUAUGAAAUAAUCAAAAAAAUAUAAUUUAUGGAAGUGUAAAAUAAAAAAACAAACACUCAUACUCACAUCGCUCAUAAUUUUCCAUUUGCUCUUUCCCAGGUGGUCUCAUUGUAAAGUUGUUAUUUACUGAUGACACAGAAGAGCUGUUGUGGAUGCGCAGUGGUGCCCAUGGCAACAUCUGGCAUGACGGCCAUUGCCCCGUGCCUCCUCAGCUCACUGCUUUUCAGGUGUACACAAUUUAUUAAAUGUUCAAGCUGUUUACAUGUUUGCCGUAUGCAUGAUUUGUUAGCAAAGCACAUUAUGGCUCUGUGUAUGGCCAUACAGUACAUAAAGGCUUACAGUAUAUUAAAUGCAAUGACAUUCGAAAAAAAUUUAAGUCUGGCUGAAGUGUUCAAACCUUUUUAGAGCCACUGUAUUGUAUAACAGAAUAAGAUUGUUCAAAUUCAUCAGACAAACUUAAGCCUUGUUCAUUUAAUAGAUUUAUCCUCAUUUCUCCUUGUUUCUCUCCCUUUCUCUUUCUGUUAUUUAGCUGGUGUGUGAAUCCAUGCACUCUGGUUUUGAUGGUCAGCUGGCUUUGGAUGAUGUGGCAUAUGUGUCAGUGUCAUGUUCUCUGCCCACUAUGUGUCAAUUUGAGAGUCAGAUUUGUGGUUACACCAGUUCUGGAGGAGCCAAGUGGUUACACCAAAACUGGGCAUCAACCAGAACUGACCCUGAGACCGACCACAGUCGGUGCACAGUUACUAUGCACACUACAGUUUGAGGUGGAGGGAGGAGGGGCAAAGAGAGUUUUAUUACCAUUGAUGACAUCACCUACUCAAAGCUGUCAGCUGUCCCACAACAGAUAGCAUCUGUGAUCUAGAGAGAGGUCUGUGUGGAUGGUCCAACACUCAGAACCCAUCACUAUACUGGUUAGAUUAGGACCUGACCAGUGCACAAGCUGAGACGUUCUACGGCGCACCACCCAAUGACAACACACUGCACACAGAGGAAGGUCAUUUCCUGUUUCUUCCUGAGCGUGACACUGCUACCUAGAAUGCCUGGCUGCUGAGCCCUCACCUGGCACCAACCAAAGAAACCUGCCUGAUCUUUUGUGUUUAUCAGCCAACCCUGCAUGACAGUAAACUCAUCGUAUGGAGGCUGUCUGGAGGGUCCAAACAUGAAUUGCUGACACUGGAUGAAGGGGUGAAGGUUGGAGAUAUUUCCGUGUCAAUAUCACCUCAGAAACGGAAUAGCAGAUUGUAUUGGAGGGAUUUAAAUGACAGAAGGGUGUUCUUGCCCUGGAUGACAUAAAAUAUACGGUUGGAGUGAACUGUGCUGGGACAGACCAGACAACACCACCAUCAUCAUCUAACAACUCAAGAGCAAUUGUGGCCUCUGUCAUAGUUGUCAUUCUGCUCUUGAUCGUUCUUUCUGCCUUGCUGGUAUUCUACCUGAAAACUAUAGAGAGGUCCAAUGCUUUAGUACAGAACACAUCUAAUGUAGCCUGCAGUGGCUUCGGCAAUGACCUCUAUGAAUCCGAUAGUACUGAACAUGUGGCGGACGUGAAUGACAAUAUGGCCGCAUAGGAGGAUGUCAUGGUGAUUGUGCCACCGACUGGAUCUCCCGAGGCAAAACAGGUGGCAUCACAGCAGGAGAACUGCUUGUGCCACCAUGACACGACUAAUGCCACAUACUAAAAAAAAAAACACUGACCCUAAGCAAAAGUUACUCUUUACUAUGAGCACAAGAACUUUCUGUAAAUUACUGGGGUCAAAUAAUCCUGAAGUCUGCCUCUCAAGAUCAUUCAUUUGUUUGAACUGAUGGUAUAGUUGCUGGAUGUUCUGUCACCACCGGAUGAUUCCUUACAACCAUUAAAGAAUCUGAGAAUCUCAACUCAUGUCACUGUAUGAUUCAAAGAGAAAUGCAUUCCAGACAAGCACAGAUCUAUUUAAGUUGUACAAUCUUAUGCAGUGUUAUUACAGUGUAAUUGAAUAUAUUGUAUACAAUGAACAGAACAGCAAAGUACAGGUACUAAGAAAGCAUACAAUGAACAGGCCAUAGAGGGUUGUGAUGUUAGAUGUCAUUAACAUAUAUUAUUAGAGGUUACACAUGUUCUAAAUCUUCUUUGUGUGGUCUCAGUGUGUGGUUUGAAUCCUGUAACAUGGUGUGGGUAAAUGAUGGCAGUCAUUAAGAUGGAUAUUGCAAGUGAAUGGUUGGUCAAAUCUUUUGACUGUCUUUAUGGAUUCGCUCUUUUAUAGAAUAACAGGGGUUCCAGACAGAAUUAACCAACAGCACUAAAUUGUUAAGUGUGCAGUAUAAUGUUGUUAAUUUUAGGUUUGAAGCAGUGAGAGAAUGGACAAAUCAAUCCUGUUGGUCAAGAGAUUAAAUUAUAUAUUGUAUUCCUACUCUGCAUAUAUUAAAUUUAAAAUAAAAUUGAGCACAUAUU